CCAGCUGGCGCAGGCGCAGGCGGCCGGAGCGCGCCCUCCGCCCCGGGGGACGCGGCCCGAGGAGCGCCCGGCGGAGGCCUCGGGGCCUUUCCGGCUCCAGAAGCUCCACGCCGUCCUCCCCCAGCCCGACAGGGACCCGACUUUCCUGUACCUGUCGGGCAAAAGAACGUUCUUCUAGUGGUCUGUGGAAUAUGCACGCAUUUCAGAGUCUGAUAGAGGAAGGUCCAGAGCUGAGGUGUCACGUCACAGAAAAUGGGUCUAUUUGGAUGGAGCGAUUUUGCCCAGUAAGGAACCAGCCACGAUAAGUGGCCACUAGAUGUCAGCCUUGUGCCACGUUGUGCAACAAGGCCAGCCCUACGGCGGUGAUCGAACCCUUCCCCAGGGCUUGCCAGCUCCUGGGCGGUUCUCGGAGCCCUCACAGGGAAGCAUAUGUGACAGAUACUGGCUCGAAAAGUCGAACCAGUAUCUCCUGAUGCACAUGCCCCUCUAGAACCUCGCCACUCUGCCAUCAAGAGGUACAGUCUCAUCCUCCACCCGUUGAAUUUGGGGUGCUUAUGACUCGCUUGUAACUGGUAGGAUGUGGCUAAUGCUGUGUGGCAUCCAUGGCUAGGUCUUAAAAGGCAAGGCCGUGUCUGCUUUGUUAGCUGGAACACUCACCUGCGGAGCCGAGCCCCGGGUAAGCAGUUAGCCCAGCCGAAGGCUGCCAUGCCGUGCGGCAGCCCAAGGCCACAUGGCGAGGCCACAUGUACCUUUCUCAGCCCUAGCUGAGGUCCCAGCCAGCAGCCAGCAUCGACCGCCAGAUGAAUGAAGAGGACAGACAUCUCCGAGUGACCCCAGCCAUUGAGUGGCCCUGAGCUCUCAAGUCAUUUCGCUGAGGCCCAGAUACCGUGCAGCAAAGACAAGCUGUGCCCCCUGUGCCCUUCCAAUUCCUAACCCACAGAAUUAGGAUAAUAAUAAUGGUUAUUACCUGUGUUCAGGGUGGUUUAUUAAAACAGCAUACAGGAUUACUAGACAGUGAACAUAUAUAUACUAACAUACGUGCUAAGCAUAGUUCACGUAUCCGGAAGGCCUCUCUGCCUCUCCUAAAAGGAUGGGCUCCACAUCUGCCUCAAUGAAUGUGUAACAUUGUCAAUCCCCUGCCUAAAGUCUCCUUGCUGAGAAAUCCUGUCUGCUCCCUUGCCUGAUCCAUCGGUCUUUAUAACCAACCUCUCUGUGUCCAAAAUAAAGCAGAAGUUGUGGCUAAA